UACGUAGGGACCGAGCGUUGUCCGGAAUCAUUGGGCGUAAAGAGCGUGUAGGCGGCCACUUAAGUCCUGCGUGAAAUCCCGGGGCUCAACCCCGGGCGUGCAGUGGAUACGGGCUGGCUAGAGGCAGGCAGGGGAGAACGGAAUUCCCGGUGUAGCGGUGAAAUGCGCAGAUAUCGGGAGGAACACCAGUGGCGAAGGCGGCUCACUGGACCGGUACUGACGCUGAUGCGCGAAAGCGUGGGGAGCAAACAGG
rnacentral:rRNA from 1 species